rnacentral:rRNA from 1 species
GGGAAAUGAACGAGUGAGAACUCGUCUUUACGGAGAGUUUGAUCCUGGCUCAGGAUGAACGCUAGCGGCGUGCCUAACACAUGCAAGUCGAACGUGAGAGGGUACUUGUAUCCUUGAAAGUGGCGGACGGGUGAGUAAGACGUAGGUGACCUGCCUCGAAGUGGGGGAUAACCAUUGGAAACGAUGGCUAAUACCGCAUAAGCUGGUGAUGAUGGGAAUCGUUAUCAGGAAAGCUUUAGUGCUUUGAGAGGGGCCUACGGCCGAUUAGCUAGUUGGUGAGGUAAAGGCUCACCAAGGCGAUGAUCGGUAGCUGGUCUGAGAGGACGAUCAGCCACACGGGAACUGAGACACGGUCCCGACUCCUACGGGGGGCAGCAGUGAGGAAUAUUCGGCAAUGGGGGCAACCCUGACCGAGCAACGCCGCGUGGAGGAUGACGGUUUUCGGAUUGUAAACUCCUUUUCUCAGGGAAGAGCGAGGAC